rnacentral:rRNA from 1 species
UACAGAGGGUGCGAGCGUUAAUCGGAAUUACUGGGCGUAAAGCGUGCGUAGACGGUCAUGUAAGUCGGGUGUGAAAGCCCCGGGCUCAACCUGGGAAUUGCAUUCGAGACUGCAUGGCUAGGGUGCGGAAGAGGGAAGCGGAAUUUCCGGUGUAGCGGUGAAAUGCGUAGAUAUCGGGAGGAACACCGGUGGCGAAGGCGGUUCUCUGGGCCUGUACUGACGCUGAGGAGCGAAAGCGUGGGGAGCGAACAGG